AUUGGAAAGGGGCGCAAAAUAUGCAAAAAAAAAAAAAAACCACUUGGCCAUCCGGCCGCCAUUUAGAUCUAGUUUUAUACAAUAUUCUGUUAAAGUUUCUGUUAGCUUUAAUCUCUAGUUAUCUGUUUUUUUUGCAUAUUUUACGCCCCUUUCCAAUCAGGAAGAUUACUAAGGGAGGGGGAGCCAGUUCCAAUCACGGGCUGCACCUACACCCAUGGAGAGGGGCCGGAUGGUGAAGGACGGGGAUCGUCGGUCCGGGCCCAGCACCCGAAAAAUCUUUUCAGAUACUAGACCCGGGAUGUCAACCAGAGUACUCCUGCGUGGAA
rnacentral:lncRNA from 1 species